CCCAUGUAUAUAGACGCGCAAUCCCUGAUGUACCUGUCUACAAAUGCCGCCUCAUCACAUGUGAUGAUGGAGGCAAUGACAGCGUAAUUUGCCACUGCAACAUACCUUCUGGUGAGACUGCAUUUCAGGGAAUUUCCGGUGUCAAUAUACCCGAUAGCGUGUGUGAUGUUAGAAUUUCUGCCAAGUAAUACAUUUGUCAGAAUCUUCAAAUAACUCACUUCUUUUUAUGUAGUGCAUUUCGCAUUAUAGUCCUGUAUAUGGAAGAAAACGGUCGGAUUAAAAUAAAUGAAGCAUCAAUAUUUCGAUUGAAUUUUUAAAAUGUUGAUAAAAAUGUGGCUAGUUUUUGCAAUUUCCGACGUUAACCUUGAAAAAUGUGUAUAAAUCUGUGGAUAGUGUGGAAAAGUUAUAAAAUACUACAAGAUAUGCGAAAAUAUAGUACAAUUUACGACAUAGUGCUAUAUUUAUCGAAAUAUAAUAAUAAAAAACGGGAAAUGUUUAGAUGGGAGAAAAAAUUAAUCCGGAACUUGAACUGGCGAUCAAUUCUGAUGCAUAUACCCCCGGAAGCAAUCUUUAUCUAGGAUAUGACAAGACUAGAGAUGAGUGGACUCUCAUAAUAAGACACUCCGGUGAAAUUGAUGAUUUGGAGGGAACGCUUGUCAACGAAUCGGUAUAUCUCCUGGGGGGAUUUGCGGUAAUAAAGAUAUACACAUAUAACAUAUAUUAUCUUCAGCUUGAUCCGAGAAUCCUCUAUAUCGAUAAGGCGAGCUAUUACAGUUAUGGGGCAGAGAGAGGAAUCACUGCUUCGGAGCAAAAUACUUAUGCAAGAUAUGCCGCGUGCCUGACAGAUAGUCAGGUGGGAGUAAUGCCAGUGUACGGUGAUGGCGUGUGUAUAGGGGUGAUAGACAGUGGACUUGAUAUCAGGAACGAGGAAUUCUGCCGUGAUGGGCGAACCAGACUGCUUAGAUACUGGAACCAGAAUCAGAACUAGAGAUAAGUUGGGCGGUCAAAAGGGAAAGAGCCCAGACCUUCAGUUAAGGUCCCAAAGUGCGCGUUAAGUGGAAAAGGAUGUGGGAUUUCGAAGACAACCAGGAUGUUGGCUCAGAAGCAGCCAUCCAUUCAAAGAGUGCGUAAUAGCUCACUGGUCGAGAGGUCCUGCGCCGAAAAUGUCCGGGGCUGAAACGCGCCACCGAAACUAAGGAACCGAAAGGUUGGUAGAGGAGCAUUGCAUGCGGAACGAAGCAGUACCGUAAGGAGCUGUGGACUGCAUGGAAGAGAGAAUGCCGGAAUGAGUAGCGAGAUAGAGGUGGGAAUCCUCUAGGCCGAAUAUCCAAGGUUUCCAGAGUAAAGCUGAUCUGCUCUGGGUAAGUCGGGGCCUAAGGCGAGGACGAGAGUCGUAGCCGAUGGACAACAGGUGGAGAUUCCUGUACUGCGGUAUGACAGAACUGUGGGGACACGUAAGGAAAGCGGAAGCCGGGAAUGGAAAGCCCGGUGCAAGCGGGGUACCAGUCACUUUGGCAAAUCCGGGUGGCAAUGGGAAGCCGUGAUGCGGAGCGAAAUAAAGUAGCGAAGUCCGUGAGCCAUGCGUCAAGAAAAGCCGCUAUUGUUUGUACCGUACCCGUACCGUAAACCGACACAGGUGGAUGAGGAGAGAAUCCUAAGGCCGGCGGAAGAAGCAUUGUCAAGGAACUCGGCAAAAUGGCCCCGUAACUUAGGGAUAAGGGGUGCCUGGGAAACCAGGCCGCAGAGAAUAGGCUCAAGCAACUGUUUAGCAAAAACACAGGUCUAUGCGAAACCGAAAGGUGAGGUAUAUGGGCUGACGCCUGCCCGGUGCUGGAAGGUUAAGAGGAGAGGUUAGCGCAAGCGAAGCUUUGAAUUUAAGCCCCAGUAAACGGCGGCCGUAACUAUAACGGUCCUAAGGUAGCGAAAUUCCUUGUC
rnacentral:rRNA from 1 species